rnacentral:rRNA from 2 species
CUCAAAGGAAUUGACGGGGGCCCGCACAAGCGGCGGAGCAUGCGGAUUAAUUCGAUGCAACGCGAAGAACCUUACCAAGGCUUGACAUGUUCCAGAUCGCCUCAGAGAUGGGGUUUCCCUUCGGGGCUGGUUCACAGGUGGUGCAUGGUUGUCGUCAGCUCGUGUCGUGAGAUGUUGGGUUAAGUCCCGCAACGAGCGCAACCCUCGUUCCAUGUUGCCAGCGGGUUAUGCCGGGGACUCAUGGGAGACUGCCGGGGUCAACUCGGAGGAAGGUGGGGAUGACGUCAAAUCAUCAUGCCCCUUAUGUCUUGGGCUUCACGCAUGCUACAAUGGCCGGUACAAUGGGUUGCGAUACUGUGAGGUGGAGCUAAUCCCUAAAAGCCGGUCUCAGUUCGGAUUGGGGUCUGCAACUCGACCCCAUGAAGUCGGAGUCGCUAGUAAUCGCAGAUCAGCAACGCUGCGGUGAAUACGUUCCCGGGCCUUGUACACACCGCCCGUCAAGUCACGAAAGUUGGUAACACCCGAAGCCGAUGGCCUAACCACC